AGAACCCCCAUCCUUAUAUACGUCGGGUGGAGAAGCUGCCAUAGUCUUAUUUUUGCUACUGGAGGCUCUAGGGAGGUCAAUCUGUCCUUCUCACAUGUGAAUUGUGUUUUUAUGCAUGGCUUGGUCUUAUUUCCACCUCCAUGUUGCAGAUACUAUUCAUUCACAAUGUGGUACUAUAAGUAAUGCGACACUUUUACUUCACCUUUUAAAACGGGUCUUGUUUUCUCUAUCUUAUCCUAUCGUACGGGUGGAGAAACCCUAUCCUUAUAUACGUUGGGUGGAGAAGCCGUCAUAGUCUUAUUUUUGCUACCGGAGGCUCUAGGGAGGUCAAUCUGUCCUUCUCACAUGUGAAUUGUGUUUUUAUGCGUGGCUUGGUCUUAUUUCCACCUCCAUGUUGCAGGUACUAUUCAUUCACAAUGUGGUACUAUAAGUAAUGCGACACUUUUUACUUCACCUUUUAAAACGGGUCUUGUUUUCUCUAUCUUAUCCUAUCGUAUAGGUGGAGAACCCCCAUCCUUGUAUACGUCGGGUGGAGAAGUUGUCAUAGUCUUAGUUUUGCUACCGGAGGCUCUAGGGAGUUCAAUCUAUCCUUCUCACAUGUCAAUUGUGUUUUUAUGCAUGGCUUGGUCUUAUUUCCACCUCUAUAUUAUAGGUACUAUUCAUUCACAAUGUGAUACUAUCAGUAAUGCAAGGCUUAGAAGGACUUGAGCUUUGUUGGGCUACCUAAUGUGACUGGCCCAGUAACCAAGGAGAAAUUUAAUUUGUGGUUUCUAAUUAUCUGAAAAAAAAUCCAUAUAGCACGAAGACCAGAUGGAACUUAUUACGCGGGAAGAUUGUCCAAAACAAAACUUUUUCUCGCAUCUGUUAAUCCACCCGUGUCCAACUCAGCUAACUAUCAUGUUCAAAAAAAAAAAACUCAGCUAACUAUCGUAAUAACUGUCCCCCAUGUCAAUACCUCACUGAUGUGCUUCACUAAGUCACAAGGACUCGAUAGCACGCAGCAAAGGGAUGGAUCCCGUAACCAUCCCUUAGUCACACUAAGGCCUUGUUUACUUCCCAAAAAAUUUCAAGAUUCCCCGUUACAUCGAAUCUUGUGGCAUAUGCAUAGAGUAUUAAAUUUAGACAAAAACAAAAACUAAUUACACAGUUUGCCUGUAAAUCGCGAGAUGAAUCUUUUGACCCUAAUUAGUCUAUUAUUGGACAAUAUUUACCACAAACAAACGAAAGUGCUACAGUAUCCAAAAUCCAAAAUUUUUACCAACUAAACAAGGCCUAAGCUUGACCAUGACAGACACGUUAGGGAGAUUGAGUUAUAUACGUUUGCAUCUUAUACAUAUAAGAUGUAAGAUCAUGUAACGAUGGAGGGCUCAUAUACAUGAAGUUCAGAUCGAACGGUUAUUACACAGGGAGAUUAUAUAAAAAAAACUCACUUUUUUAUAGUGUGAUAUAAUUUUCUAUGUAUAGCCGCAAGAUUCGAUGUGACGAAAAAUUUUAAAAAGUUUUUAGAUUUUGACUGUAACUAAACAAGGUCUAGGCAUCGGAGAGUUCUAGUGACCCACGGAUCAGAGAGCUUUGGUGCAACCACGUGGACUAGCUGUUGCAGCUGACCACGGGAGGGUUCUAAACUCUGGC
rnacentral:lncRNA from 1 species